AGGGGGUUAGUCCAAAAAAGACUUUUAAUUUCGGCUUAAAAAAUUGUGGUUAAACUCCACAACCCUCUU
rnacentral:tRNA from 1 species